rnacentral:rRNA from 1 species
UAAUUUCGUUGGUUUAAUCUUAAGUUUAGGAGUAAGUUAAGAAUUUUUAAAGGGAAACAGCGAUGGAGAAGAAAUCUAUAGAGUAAGGAAGAUAAUUACCUUUUGCAUAAUGGUUAAACAAAAAAUAAAGAGGGUUUCUUGUUCCCGAAGCAAGGAAGAUCUAAGUUCAAGAGUUAUACUAGUAAACUACUUUUUAUGUGGCAAUAUAAUAAUAGUACUUGAAACUUAGGGGCGAAAAACCUACAAUUCUUGGGAUAUCUGGAUGGUUAGGAAAGGUUAGUAUCACCAAUAGGACAGACAUGGAGUGUCGAGAUUUCAUGUUCAGAGAAUAAGUAUAGGUUAGUUUUUUAAGAUUGGCUAAUAACUUUCUUUUUGGCUGUAAGGAAGAUUCCCUAUGUAGUUGAUCUCUAAAAUUCUAGCUCACUUGUUGGUUAAUUUUUUUCACAAGAUGAUAAUGUUUAAAUUAGUAAUAAAUUGAUAUAAUCGACCCUAAGGAACUCGGCAAAAAGAAAACCUCAACUGUUUAUCAAAAACAUAGCCACAGGGAGUUAUCUGAGGUUAGGCCUGCCCAGUGUAAGAAACGUAUAAAUGGCCGCAGUACCCUGACUGUGCGAAGGUAGCGUAAUCAGUUGGCUUUUAAAUGGAGUCGUGUAUGAAUGGCUUUUUGGGGUUUAGCUGUCUCUGGGUUGUUUUAUUGAACUUUCACUUGAGGUGAAAAUUCCUCUGAGAAGAUAAAAGACGAGAAGACCCUUAGAGUUUUUAUUGCCUGGUUUAAUGUCCUAGGUUAAUUUUUGUUGGGGCGACAGGGAAGCAGAAGAUGUGUGAUUUUUAACCUUCCUUGUGAUAGAUGUUAACUAGUCGGAGCUUUCAAGAAGGAAGAAACUACCUGAGGGAUAACAGCAUAAUUCUGUGAAGAGUUUGUGACCUCGAUGUUGGACUAGGAAACCUUUGAACUAGCAGUUGGAGGGGGUUGUUCUGUUCGAACUAUUAAUUCCUACAUGAUCUGAGUUCAGACCGGCGUAAGCCAGGUCAGAUUCUAUCUUUAAGAUUUUGGGCUUUUAGUACGAAAGGAUUGAAGCUCUGCACGUAUGAAAAUGUUGUGUAAUGUA